rnacentral:rRNA from 1 species
UGGGGAAUUUUGUACAAUGGGGGAAACCCUGAUCAAGCCAUCCCGCGUGUGCGAUGAAGGCCUUCGGGUUGUAAAGCACUUUUGUCAGGAAAGAAACGUCAUGGGUUAAUACCCCGUGAAACUGACGGUACCUGCAGAAUAAGCACCGGCUAACUACGUGCCAGCAGCCGCGGUAAUACGUAGGGUGCAAGCGUUAAUCGGAAUUACUGGGCGUAAAGCGUGCGCAGGCGGUUCGGAAAGAAAGAUGUGAAAUCCCAGAGCUCAACUUUGGAACUGCAUUUUUUACUACCGGGCUAGAGUGUGUCAGAGGGAGGUGGAAUUCCGGGUGUAGCAGUGAAAUGCGUAGAUAUGCGGAGGAACACCGAUGGCGAAGGCAGCCUCCUGGGAUAACACUGACGCUCAUGCACGAAAGCGUGGGGAGCAAACAGG